GUGCUCGAUCUGCUGCGGGCAGAUGAAAUGGAUGUGGCUGUCGAAACCACCGGCGGUGAGGAUCUUGCCUUCGCCCGCGAUCACGUCGGUGCCGGGGCCGAUGAUGAUGGUGACGCCCGGCUGGAUGUCGGGAUUUCCGGCCUUGCCGAUCGUGGAGAUCAUGCCGUCCUUGAUCGCGACGUCAGCCUUCACGAUGCCCCAGUGGUCGACGAUCAGCGCGUUGGUGAUAACCGUGUCGGCCGCGCCCUGCCGGUUGGUGACCUGCGACUGGCCCAUGCCGUCGCGGAUCAC
rfam:Bradyrhizobium sp. BR 10245 contig16, whole genome shotgun sequence.